GCUAUUUUGACAGAUAAAUGUGUUGAUUUUAGAAGUCAUUUUAUAUAUAAGGUUUAAAUUUAUAUAGAUAGUA
rnacentral:tRNA from 1 species